GGAACAUGGAGUUCCUGACUCCACUAAUGGGAGUCAGGUAAUGGCGCGAGGGUUAUGAGUCAAAGCUGGCUUUCUCCAGGAUCCUGGGCAGCCCCCUAACUUCUCUGAGCCACAGUCUCCUCGUUCCCUCAGCACUGAAGUCGGCAACCAUGGAGCUGAAGGUCCAGGUCUAGGAGUCACAGCGGGAGAAAAGCCACACGAUCUUCCUAGGUCUCAGUUCAUUUUUUCUGUAAAUAUUGUAGAGACGGGGUUUCACCGUGUUAUCCAGGAUGGUCUCGAUCUCCUGACCUCGUGAUCUGCCCGCCUCGGCCUCCCAAAGUGCUGGAUUACAGGCGACAGCGCAUUUCUUGAAGAGACAGUCUGUGGUCUGUGGUUUUUCCGGAAAGCAGUUCUUUGUUGGGUGAUGAUCUUUCAUCAUGGAGGUGAUUGCCUCAGUGGUUUCACUCUCAGACCCGCAGGGAAGAUGCAGUUAUUUGAAUGGACUCUUUGUGGCAAGAAAUAGAGAACUAUCUCAUCUCCUAAAAAAACAUGUUUCUGGAUGAAGAAUUCUUUAUUUCUUAAUAAGUGGUUCUUUCAACUACCAGAGUCAUCCUGUAUGCCUUUCUAAAGUGAUUUUUCUUUUGUCAGUUAGAAUAAAGGGGACGCACA
rnacentral:lncRNA from 10 species